rnacentral:rRNA from 1 species
AGCGAACGCUGGCGGCAGGCCUAACACAUGCAAGUCGAACGAACUCUUCGGAGUUAGUGGCGGACGGGUGAGUAACACGUGGGAACGUGCCUUUAGGUUCGGAAUAACUCAGGGAAACUUGUGCUAAUACCGAAUGUGCCCUUCGGGGGAAAGAUUUAUCGCCUUUAGAGCGGCCCGCGUCUGAUUAGCUAGUUGGUGAGGUAACGGCUCACCAAGGCGACGAUCAGUAGCUGGUCUGAGAGGAUGACCAGCCACACUGGGACUGAGACACGGCCCAGACUCCUACGGGAGGCAGCAGUGGGGAAUCUUGCGCAAUGGGCGAAAGCCUGACGCAGCCAUGCCGCGUGAAUGAUGAAGGUCUUAGGAUUGUAAAAUUCUUUCACCGGGGACGAUAAUGACGGUACCCGGAGAAGAAGCCCCGGCUAACUUCGUGCCAGCCGCCGCGGUAAGAC